GCUCAGGACGAACGUNGGCGGCGUGUCUAAGGCAUGCAAGUCGAGCGGAUCGCAUUCCGUAGCAAUACGGGGCGCGGUUAGCGGCAAACGGGUGCGUAACACAUUGGUCAUCUACCCUCCAGUCGGGCACAACCCCGCGAAAGCGGGGCUAAUUCCACGAUGGACUCCGAUGCAACAUUCGGAGUAAAGCGCAAAACGCGCUGGAGGAGGAGCCUAUGGCCCAUCAGCUUGUUGGCGGGGUAAAAGCCCACCAAGGCAACGACGGGUAUGGGGUGUGAGAGCAUGACCCCACUCACUGGGACUGAGACACUGCCCAGACACCUACGGGUGGCUGCAGUUAAGAAUAUUCCCCAAUGGCCGAAAGGCUGAGGGAGCGACGCCGCGUGCGGGAUGAAGGGCUUCGGCUCGUAAACCGCUUUUAUUUGGGACGAACACUGACGGUACCAAAUGAAUAAGAGGUUGCUAACUCUGUGCCAGCAGCAGCGGUAAUACAGAGACCUCAAACGUUGUCCGGAUUUAUUGGGCGUAAAGGGUCCGCAGGUGGCAUUGUGCGUCGAGGGUCAAAUGUCGGGGCUCAACCCCGUCACUGCCCCCGAUACGGCAAUGCUCGAGGCCGGGAGAGGUGCACGGAAUUGCCGGUGUAGUAGUAAUAUGCGUUAAUAUCGGCAAGAACACCAAAUGCGAAGGCAGUGCACUGGAACGCGCCUGACACUCAGGGACGAAAGCGUGGGGAGCGAAAGGGAUUAGAUACCCUGGUAGUC
rnacentral:rRNA from 1 species